UACGUAGGUGGCGAGCGUUGUCCGGAUUUACUGGGCGUAAAGGAUGCGUAGGCGGAUAUUUAAGUGGGAUGUGAAAUACCCGAGCUCAACUCGGGUGCUGCAUUCCAAACUGGAUAUCUAGAGUGUCGGAGAGGAAAGCGGAAUUCCUAGUGUAGCGGUGAAAUGCGUAGAGAUUAGGAAGAACACCAGUGGCGAAGGCGGCUUUCUGGACGAUAACUGACGCUGAGGAAUGAAAGCGUGGGGAGCAAACAGG
rnacentral:rRNA from 1 species